UCUUACCUACGGAUGACACUCCUGUGCAAGAAGAUGGAGAGGCAGAAUUUCAAAUGGUGGCAGUGAAACCUAAAGCCACCGGGGGCUUUGGAUGUGAGCCUAUCAGAGGCUCAAAAUGGAAAUGUGUCAGAAGAAACAGUGGGGCAUGGAAAAGUUAAAAAAAUCCCUAAAACAUGUUAUGAUUGUGGGCUUGUCAGAAGCCCCAAAUGGAGACAUGUCUAAAGAAAUAGUAGAAAAUGUAAAAGUUAAAGAAAACUAGAAAUCUAUCAUACUAACCAGUGCAGAAGCAGCAAUUCAGUCUCUAGAUUCGAAAUCAAAAAAGAAAAGAAGAACAAGAGAAAAAUAGUGACUAAUGCUGGGCGUGAUACAAAAAAAGCAAAAACUGAAAACAAAGGGGAAUCCGAAGAAGAUGGUAUCGAGGCUCCUGAAGAAACAGAAAACUGGGGGGAAGCCAGACAAUGAGAGAGAUGAGAAUACUUCAUUUCUUCUCUAAUUUUGUCAGUGAAAACACUUUGAAGGCAAUAAAAGAAAUGGGCUUUACCAACAUGACUGAAAUUUAGCAUAAAAAUGAUGGGCCACUUAUGGAAGGCAGGAUCUUCCAGCAGCUACACAAACCAGCAGUGGCAAAAACCCUGGCAUUUCUCAUCCCUGCAUUUGAACUAAUUGUUAAGUUAAAAUUCAUGUCCAGAAAUGGAACAGGAGUCUUUAUUCUCUCACUAAUUAAACAGCUUGUCCUGAGACUCUUGGUGUUCUUAAGGAGCUAAUGACUCACCAUAUGCACAUGCAUGGGUUGAUAAUGGGUGGCAGUAACAGAUCUGCUGAAGUACAGAAGCUUGCAAAUGGGAUCAGCACUGGUGGUCACACCAGGCCAUCUCCUGGGCUGUAUGCAGAAUUCUGCAGGAUUUAAGUAUAAAAACCUAUGGCGUCUGGUUAUGGAUGAGGCUAAUGAUAUCUUGGAUGCUGGGUUUGAAGAGAAAUUAAAGCAAAUUAUUAAACUUCUUUGAACAUGGAGACUAUGCCCUUUUCCGCCACACAAACUCAAAAACUUGAAGACCUGGCAAGGAUUUCUCCAAAAAAAAAAAAAAAGGAACAAAUGUAUGCUGGUGUUGAUAAUGAUAAAGCUACUGCAACAGUGGAUAGUCUCAAGCGGGGAUAUGUUGUUCGUCCCUCUGAAAAAGGAUUCCUUUUGCUCUUUAUAUUCCUUAAGAACUGAAAGAAGAAACUGAUGGUCUUCUUUUCAUCCUGUAGGUCCAUAAAAUACCACUAUGAGUUGCGGAACUACAUUGACUUGCCUACCUCAGCCAUUCAUUUCCAGAAGCAAAAUUACGUGUAGAAUUACAUUUUUUCCAGUUCUGUAAUGCAGAUUCAGGGAUAUUGUGUACAGAUGAGGCAGGGAGAGAGCUAGAUAUUCCUGGCUGGAUUGUUCAGUAUUAUCCUCCAGAUGACCCUAAGGAAUAUGUUCAUCGUCGGGGGACAAUAGCCAGGGACCUAAACGAAAGAGGGCAUGCCUUGCUCAGUUUUUGCCCAGAAGAAUUGGGUUUUGUUUGUUACCUGAAGCAACCCAAGGUUCCAUUAAGUGAAUUUGACUUUUCCUGGCCUAAAAUUUCUGACAUUCAGUCUUGGUUUGUAAAAUUAAUGAAAAAGAACUACUUUCUUCAUAAGUCAGCCCAGGAAGCAUAUAAGUCAUACAUACGAGUAAAUGAUUCUCAUUCUCUGAGACAGAUUUUUAAUGUUAAUAACUUAAAUUUGCCUCAAGUUGCUCUGUCAUUCGGUUUCAAGGUGCCUCCUUCUGUUGAUGUGAAUGUGAACAGCAAUGAAGGCAAGCAUAAAAAGAGAGGAGGCGAGAGUAGAUUCAGCUACCAGAAAACCAAGAAAGUUAAGUCCAUAAUCUUUAAAAACAUUAGCACGAAAUCAUCUGAUAGCAGGCAGUUCUGUCACUGA
rnacentral:lncRNA from 1 species